GACGAACGCUGGCGGCGUGCUUAACACAUGCAAGUCGAACGGAAAGGCCCUGCUUUUGUGGGGUGCUCGAGUGGCGAACGGGUGAGUAACACGUGAGUAACCUGCCCUUGACUUUGGGAUAACUUCAGGAAACUGGGGCUAAUACCGGAUAGGAGCUCCUGCUGCAUGGUGGGGGUUGGAAAGUUUCGGCGGUUGGGGAUGGACUCGCGGCUUAUCAGCUUGUUGGUGGGGUAGUGGCUUACCAAGGCUUUGACGGGUAGCCGGCCUGAGAGGGUGACCGGCCACGUUGGGACUGAGAUACGGCCCAGACUCCUACGGGAGGCAGCAGUGGGGAAUAUUGCACAAUGGGCGGAAGCCUGAUGCAGCAACGCCGCGUGCGGGAUGACGGCCUUCGGGUUGUAAACCGCUUUCGCCUGUGACGAAGCGUGAGUGACGGUAAUGGGUAAAGAAGCACCGGCUAACUACGUGCCAGCAGCCGCGGUGAUACGUAGGGUGCGAGCGUUGUCCGGAUUUAUUGGGCGUAAAGGGCUCGUAGGUGGUUGAUCGCGUCGGAAGUGUAAUCUUGGGGCUUAACCCUGAGCGUGCUUUCGAUACGGGUUGACUUGAGGAAGGUAGGGGAGAAUGGAAUUCCUGGUGGAGCGGUGGAAUGCGCAGAUAUCAGGAGGAACACCAGUGGCGAAGGCGGUUCUCUGGGCCUUUCCUGACGCUGAGGAUCGAAAGCGUGGGGAGCGAACAGGCUUAGAUACCCUGGUAGUCCACGCUGUAAACGGUGGGUACUAGGUGUGGGGUCCAUUCCACGGGUUCCGUGCCGUAGCUAACGCUUUAAGUACCCCGCCUGGGGAGUACGGCCGCAAGGCUAAAACUCAAAGGAAUUGACGGGGCCCCGCACAAGCGGCGGAGCAUGCGGAUUAAUUCGAUGCAACGCGUAGAACCUUACCUGGGUUUGACAUGGAUCGGGAGUGCUCAGAGAUGGGUGUGCCUCUUUUGGGGUCGGUUCACAGGUGGUGCAUGGCUGUCGUCAGCUCGUGUCGUGAGAUGUUGGGUUAAGUCCCGCAACGAGCGCAACCCUUGUUCACUGUUGCCAGCACGUUAUGGUGGGGACUCAGUGGAGACCGCCGGGGUCAACUCGGAGGAAGGUGGGGAUGACGUCAAGUCAUCAUGCCCCUUAUGUCCAGGGCUUCACGCAUGCUACAAUGGCUGGUACAGAGAGUGGCGAGCCUGUGAGGGUGAGCGAAUCUCGGAAAGUCGGUCUCAGUUCGGAUUGGGGUCUGCAACUCGACCUCAUGAAGUCGGAGUCGCUAGUAAUCGCAGAUCAGCAACGCUGCGGUGAAUACGUUCCCGGGGCU
rnacentral:rRNA from 1 species